UACGUAGGUGGCAAGCGUUGUCCGGAUUUACUGGGCGUAAAGAGCGCGCAGGCGGUCGUUUAAGUCGAAUGUGAAAGCCCCCGGCUCAACUGGGGAGGGUCAUUCGAUACUGAUCGACUUGAAGGCAGGAGAGGGAAGUGGAAUUCCGGGUGUAGUGGUGAAAUGCGUAGAUAUCCGGAGGAACACCAGUGGCGAAGGCGGCCUGCUGGGCAGUUGCUGACACUGAGGCGCGACAGCGUGGGGAGCAAACAGG
rnacentral:rRNA from 1 species